UAAAAUUAAAGAUAUUUCCGUUUAACACCCCCUUUCUGAACCUUACGGUGGGUCAUUCCAGAAUUUGGGCGUUGCUCGUUUGUAGAGAUGCCUCGGUUUUAUGUCUUAAUUUUCACAAAUUAUUCAAGUUAAUUAGUCACGAUUGUUUUUAACAUUUUACAUGAAAAAAUAAUUUAGAUAGUUUAUUGGACGUCUUCUCGUGUGUGGCUCAUACCCAUUCGCUACCAGACGGGGGCGCUAAGGAUUAGCUCAAGUGUCAUGUAGAAACUUUGAGUAGUAUAGGCAGCAUCGUACGUCAACGCUGCCGCCAUAUUGAACGUGGCAGCUUUAAAACUUUAAAGACCAAUCGCGGCCUUCACCCCGUCUGCAUUGUUGUGUCUUGCGUCUCUCCUCUUCCUCUGCUCAAAACGCUAUAAGUUUUAUAUGAUGUUUAUGUCAGAAGAGUUUGUUGGCCAGUCAGAGCUUCUUGUUGAAUGAGACAGUUGCAGGAAACAUACAGGUUAUGUCAAUGCCUGCUGGCUCUUGAAGUGCUGGCUUCAGACACAGCCUCCACAAAUUCUUGAGUGAGAUUUGCUUCUUGGUUCCCUGAAGUCUUUCUUUAGCACUAAGUCUUGUUUUUCAAUGACUGCUUGUUGAGCAGCUGUACCAGGCCCCCAUCCCAGAUCUGUGGAUCUAUGACAUUUUUUGUAUUCUAAACCUUUUUUUGUUAGUCUUAUGUAAUUCUCUGAUAAAUUUAAUAUUUUAUUUUCAAUAGCUGUAAGUCAUAAUAAAAAGAGUUAACAGAAAACUGUCUGAGUUUCACUUUUUGAAUUGAGUAAAAUUCAAAAUUAUUUUCCAAUUUACUGAGCUGCCCCAUGGUUGAAGUGAAGCCAACUACCCGGACAUGCCAAGUUUAUAUUUGUUUUCGUCGAGAAGCAGAGUAAAACCAAUUUCAGUGAAGUAUUGCGGAUUUUCCUGUGUCGUAAUACUCCCGUGCAGUAGAUGGCGCUGUGCAGUUUUUAAUGCAGUUAAACAUACAAGAAGAAUUAUUGGGGAAGCAGCAGUGUGCAUUUUACUAUGUUUUCAGUACCUCUCUGAAAACAAACACAUAAAGGUUUAGACUUUAAAAAGCUUCUUAAUUUAAAUAGUCUGUUCUACUGUGAAACAACGAUGCCAGCGGCAGAGGAAUCACACGGCAUCAACAGAGCUGUAGACAAAAUCUGCAGCUUGCCUCCAUAUGUGUUAACUGAAACUUCUCAGCACAUUCUGACAUAUCUUCAAGGCCAAACCAGUGGAGUAGAUUCAGCUGAAAUUGAGCUUAGACUUCAGAGGGCCGGGGUAACAAUUAAUCAAGAAGCUGUCCAGGGUAUUACCAGAUUUCUUCUGUUGACAUUCAGGUCAGCUGGAAAGAACAACUUCUCUGCAGACGAACUUGUGUCCAAGCUGGAGGAAGGCAGCAGCAAAUGGUCCAAAGCGUCUCUUCAGAUCUUGCACACGUUGUGGAGUGAACAUGGUGCCUCGGUCCGUGCUCAGCAGGAAGUACAGUCCAUGCUGAGCAUCGGUCAGCUUGUGGACAUCCAGUGGAAGCUGGGGAUGGCGGUGAGUUCAGACACAUGCCGGUCUCUAAACUCCCCGUACGUGUCUCUGCUGCUGAAGAUCGUCGAGCCCUCUGGACAGAUCUGCCAGAGGGCUUUCGAGAUGACCAUUCCCCAGUUCCAGAAUUUUCACAAGCAGUUCAAGGAGAUGGCAGCGAUUAUGGAGACUGUAUGAUGGCGAGAAAGCCAAAGUGUGCAGUUAGUACCAGUUUACAUAACAGUGAAAGAAGGAACAGCUUGACAUCGUUGUUUUGUUUUUCUUGCCAGGUAUCUUAAAAUGUCAACGUGACUUACUGUAAAUGUCGGUGCUUCUUGUCUCUCUCUGCAGGUUGUAUAAGCUCUUGCGUGAUGAAUUUGAAGCCCUUUAAGAUAAGAACAGCUGAAAAAGGCAGCUUUUAGGGUUGCAUAAUUUAUCCUAUUGCUUCUUCUGCAAAACACUGGGUGGUUUGCUUAGUUUUGCAACAUCUGUUAUGUGUCCAUAAUAUGACUGGUUUAUGACUAAUAUAUUCUUAUUUGUGCACUCCGGCCAUAAAUAUCAAUUUUUGUUACGUCAUUUUUGAUACCUUCAUUGAAAUUCUCUGUGUAACCCGUUAUGCACUUUACAAAUAAAGUGGUUGUUCCAUUUAUUAUUUAUUUAUUUUAAUAUAUAUAUGUACACACAUUGAGUGGUCCUUGUUAAAUGUGGGUACCACAUAGUAUUUUAAAAAUCUAAUAUUUGUAGUUUUUAAAAUAAUUUGUUGCGUGCCCAAACAUUCAGAACAGAGAAGUUGCCCUGAAUCACUGCAUUGGGGAAGUUGGUAUGUUUAAUUUAAUGUUUGGACUUGUGAAAUAUUGUGAUCCACAAAAAUGAGUAAGAAAUUACAAAAAACAUUUUAACAAAGCAGACGGAAAAUAAUGACUCGGUAUAUUAAAUUUGAAUCAGAAACCUGCAGGUUUGUCAAUUUUAGACGGACUUUUCUUUUUUUAAAUAUUCCAAUAUUAAAGCAAAACAAAAGAGCUAAUUUGGGGAGAAAUAACUUAGAAGCUUUCGUAUUGGGAUUUCAGAUUUUCUAUUUCUCUACUUUGCUUUAUAAUAUAAGACUUUUAAAGGUCUUUAAAAGUCGGAAAAAGUCCAAGCGUAUUCAGUGUCGACGUCAUCACUCCACAAGUCACGUCAUCACUCCACAAGUCACGUGACGUAAGUCGCCAUUUUGGAUAUCCAUUGGAUACCUUUUUCUGUUGUUUAACAACACGCGCGGAGAGAUAAAGAACAAGUCUUAGGAAGACGAAAUGGCUUGUUGUGUCGCUGUCGGUUGCUCUAAUCGAUCAGACAGAAAAGACUUGUCAUUUUACCGCUUUCCUAAAGACCCAGAGAGGAGGACUUUGUGGGUGCAAGCAGUGUGCCGCCGAAACUGGAAUCCCACCGACUACUCCAGAAUAUGCAGUAAACAUUUCAUCUCGGGACAAAAAAGCAACAACCCUCUGUCUCCGGAUUACGUACCCUCUCUUUUUGCGCAUACCCCAACCGCUGAAAGGAGAGUCAAGAAAAGAGAAGCAGUGGACAGCGAGGAACCUACGAAGAAGAGUCGCACCAAAUCUAAUCAGACUGAAAUAAUAAGUGCUGCAACUGCACUGCUGGAUCUCUCUGGGACUGGACCAAACAGUGGGACAGCGGAUGACAAUGAUCAGGGGGAAGAGGUUGACCUGUACGAAGAAGAGGUCUGUCAAGCAGAUCUGCCUGGGGAAGAAGAAACGGGUGUGGAAGCUCAGACUGACCUGAGCGGUGCAGAUAUCGACACUUUGUCAUCCGCAGUUCAAAAGUUGACUUCAGAAAAACAACUGCUGACUGAUCAGCUAAAGAUCAUGGACCUCUCUGAGGAAUCGUUUAAAGAUAAUGAUGAAAAAACGAAGGUUUACACAGGUUUACCGACAUUUGUCUCAUUAAUGACCGUCAUGGAUUUGAUCAUGCCUUGUUUACGGAAACCAAACUCGGCCUUAUCGCCUUUUCACAAAUGCUUAUUGACAUUAAUGAAGCUCAGACUUAAUGUCAGUAUGCUAUAUCUGUCAUAUGUUUUCAGAGUUCACUACAGCACAGUUGCAAAAACAUUUUCUGACGUGAUCACCUUUUUAAAUAUCAAAUUAGUUCCUUCUACUGUAUUUUGGCCAGAAAGAGAUCAGAUAAGAAGUACAAUGCCCCAGCUUUUUAAAGCUACAUAUCCUGAUUGUGUGUCAAUACUGGACUGUUUUGAGGUAUUAACUGAAGGACCUUCAUACCUUGAAACCAAAACCAUAAAGAGUUCAAAUUAUAAAAGUCAUAAUACAAUGAAGUAUUUAAUUUCAGUAACGCCACAAGGUUUAAUUAAUUUUAUAUCCAAAGGAUGGGCUGGCCGUACAUCCGAUCGGCUGGUAACGGAGAGCUGUGGCUACCUGAACAAUCUUGCUCCAGGAGAUGCUGUCCUCGCAAACAAAGGGUUUAACAUUGAAGAUAUUGUUGCACUACGUGGUGCCAGGUUGAUAGUUCCUGUCAUCACAAAAGGUGUCAAACAGCUGCCGCAUGGGGAAAUCACAGAAGGUAAAAAACUUUUAUCAGUUAGAAUAAAUAUGGACCGAGCUCUGGGCAACCUAAAGCAAAAAUACCCAAUUUUACAGAGCACCUUUCCUAUCAAGUUCUUACUCACGGAUCAAGCGGUAAAGAUGUCAACGCUUGAUAAAAUUAUGAGAGUCACUUGUGGUCUCUGCAAUAUAUGUGACUCUGUGAUGCCAUGUAAUUAGAUUGACCCCAUUGACUCCUCCACUUUGUAGAUUUUCCGAGCUGGAACUUGGCAAAAGAUACUUUAGGUAUGCCACAUCUCAAUGAUCCCUGCUUCACAGUGAUGUGAACAUACCUGUCAAGUUUUGGGCUUGAGAAAACAGGAAAUGUCGCCGUCCGUGACUAAUUAUGUAGACUGACGUAAUAACUUAUUAUUAUUUACGGGAAAAUAAUAAUAAGGGAGCAUGGCAGGAAAGGGAGAUUAAAACUUUAGUUUCUCGGCCAAAACAGGAGACUUGACAGGUGUGGAUGUGAACAUAUUCAUACACCUUGAAUUUUUCACAUUUGAAUCAAGCUGGAACCACAAAUAUUAAUUUAUGUCACUUUUUUUUAAAUUUCUUUUUCUUUCCUCUGUACUGAGGCGACAAUGGAUCAGGAGGUAGGAGUUUGGUUGCAACCGAUGGGAUGCAGGUUCAAAUCCCUGCUCCAUUUGUCACGUCCAUCUUCUCUAGCUACAACGAAGCUCGCCACCAUCAGUGAGUGGCUGAAUGUUGGGCAAAGCGUUUUGUGGUCUUCUGGAUUAGAUAAAGUGCUGUACAAUUAUGCGUCAUUUACCAUUCGGUCUUUGGAGCUUCCACUGUGCUCAGGUCACAGCCAAUAGGGAUGGGAUAUCUUAAGCACCUGGUCGUUGUGGAAACAGAUCUCCUGCUCAUGCUGUUCUUCACAACAUGGAAUAAUAACAUCAUAAUUUUUCUCCCUUGUUUUCUGCUUUACCCUCUUUCUCACCUUUCCAGGUUUAUUUAGGUCUAUUCCUGAUUGAGGCUCAUAUUUUUAAAACUUGUGCCUGUUUUAUCCUGCGCCUUGUUGUUAAUGAACAGAGCACAGUUCCAUCUGUUUUUCUUUUCAGGGUUGCUUACAGUAAAUGCCUCAUUCUGCUUGAAAGCAAACAUAGUUGCUGUUUUUAUCAGCUGGAUCAUCCACAUUUGCCAAACUUGGACAAUUUGCUCCUCACUUAGGAAUCAGAGUCAGCUUUAUUGGCCAGGAUUGUGUGCAGACACAAGUAAUUUGAAUUUUGUGAAGGAUAUAUUCUAUUCCACUGAGGCCUGAACAAUUUUAGCGAUAUAAAACAUUAUGUCUGUUUACUUGGAAUUAUUUUACUUUCUUUGACUUUAUUAAUGUAGGUUUGGAGCUUGGGUACUGUAUUAAAAACGUAGAAUUUUCCCAUUUUUUGUCAUGUAUGCGAAUAAAUUGUAUUUUUAACAUUC